rnacentral:rRNA from 1 species
UACGUAGGUGACUAGCGUUGUCCGGAUUUACUGGGCGUAAAGAGCGCGCAGGCGGUCGUUCAAGUCGAGUGUGAAAGCCCCGGCUCAACUGGGAGGGUCACUUGAUACUGAUCGACUCGAAGGCAGGAGAGGAAGCGGAAUUCCCGGUGUAGUGGUGAAAUGCGUAGAUAUCGGGAGGAACACCAGUGGCGAAGGCGGCUUCCUGGCCUGUUCUUGACGCUGAGGCGCGAAAGCUAGGGGAGCAAACGGG